CGAACGCUGGCGGCGUGCUAACACAUGCAAGUCGAACGCGAAAGGGACUUCGGUCCUGAGUAAGUGGCGCACGGGUGAGUAACGCGUAGAUAACCUGUCUUCAUGUCUGGAAUAAUACGCCGAAAGGGGUACUAAUACCGGAUAUUCUUGCUUUUCAUAAGUUAUGCAAGCAAAGGUGGCCUCUGCAUAUGCUACUGCAUGAAGAGGGGUCUGCGUACCAUUAGCUAGUAGGUGGGGUAAUGGCCUACCUAGGCGACGAUGGUUAGCGGGUCUGAGAGGAUGAUCCGCCACACUGGCACUGGAACACGGGCCAGACUCCUACGGGAGGCAGCAGUGAGGAAUAUUGCGCAAUGGGGGAAACCCUGACGCAGCGACGCCGCGUGAAGUGAGGAAGGCCUUCGGGUCGUAAAGCUCUGUCAAGAGGAAAGAAGUGUACAAUGGCUAAUACCUGUUGUAUUUGACGGUACCUCUAAAGGAAGCACCGGCUAACUCCGUGCCAGCAGCCGC
rnacentral:rRNA from 1 species